rnacentral:rRNA from 1 species
UUUUAACAACGGAUCUCUUGGCUCUCGCAUCGAUGAAGAACGCAGCGAAAUGCGAUACGUAAUGUGAAUUGCAGAAUUCAGUGAAUCAUCGAAUCUUUGAACGCAACUUGCGCUCCUUGGUAUUCC